rnacentral:rRNA from 1 species
GACGAACGCUGGCGGCGUGCUUAACACAUGCAAGUCGAACGGUAAGGCCCUUCGGGGUACACGAGUAGCGAACGGGUGAGUAACGCGUGGGUGAUCUGCCCUGCACUUCGGGAUAAGCCUGGGAAACUGGGUCUAAUACCGGAUAGGACCCUGGGAUGCAUGUCCUGGGGUGGAAAGCUUUUGCGGUGGGGGAUGGGCCCGCGGCCUGUCAGCUUGUUGGUGGGGUGAUGGCCUACCAAGGCGACGACGGGUAGCCGGCCUGAGAGGGUGACCGGCCACACUGGGACUGAGAUACGGCCCAGACUCCUACGGGAGGCGGCAGUGGGGAAUAUUGCACAAUGGGCGCAAGCCUGAUGCAGCGACGCCGCGUGAGGGAUGACGGCCUUCGGGUUGUAAACCUCUUUCAGCACCGACGAAGCGCAAGUGACGGUAGGUGCAGAAGAAGGACCGGCCAACUACGUGCCAGCCGCCGCGGUAA